UACAGAGGUCUCGAGCGUUGUUCGGAUUCAUUGGGCGUAAAGGGUGCGUAGGUGGCGCCGUAAGUCGGGUGUGAAAUUUCGGAGCUUAACUCCGAAACUGCAUUCGAUACUGCGGUGCUUGAGGACUGGAGAGGAGACUGGAAUUCAUGGUGUAGCAGUGAAAUGCGUAGAGAUCAUGAGGAAGACCAGUGGCGAAGGCGGGUCUCUGGACCAGUUCUGACACUGAGGCGCGACAGCGUGGGGAGCAAACAGG
rnacentral:rRNA from 1 species